GGUCUUGUAGUGUAGUGGUUAUCACUCGGGAUUUUGACUACUGCUUGUUUGAGCAGGUGAUAACAAAUUUCCCGAAACCCAGGUUCGAACCCUGGCAAGACCU